rnacentral:rRNA from 1 species
GGCUCAUUAAAUCAGUUAUCGUUUAUUUGAUAGUACCUUACUACUUGGAUAACCGUGGUAAUUCUAGAGCUAAUACAUGCUAAAAACCCCGACUUCGGGAGGGGUGUAUUUAUUAGAUAAAAAACCAACGCCCUUCGGGGCUCCUUGGUGAAUCAUAAUAACUUAACGGAUCGCAUGGCCUUGCGCCGGCGACGGUUCAUUCAAAUUUCUGCCCUAUCAACUUUCGAUUGUAGGGUAUUGGCCUACAAUGGUAUCAACGGGUAACGGGGAAUUAGGGUUCGAUUCCGGAGAGGGAGCCUGAGAAACGGCUACCACAUCCAAGGAAGGCAGCAGGCGCGCAAAUUACCCAAUCCCGACACGGGGAGGUAGUGACAAUAAAUACUGAUACAGGGCUCUUUUGGGUCUUGUAAUUGGAAUGAGUACAAUUUAAAUCCCUUAACGAGGAACAAUUGGAGGGCAAGUCUGGUGCCAGCAGCCGCGGUAAUUCCAGCUCCAAUAGCGUAUAUUAAAGUUGUUGCAGUUAAAAAGCUCGUAGUUGAACCUUGGGCCUGGCUGGCCGGUCCGCCUCACCGCGUGCACUGGUCCGGCCGGGCCUUUCCUUCUGGAGAGCCGCAUGCCCUUCACUGGGCGUGUCGGGGAACCAGGACUUUUACUUUGAAAAAAUUAGAGUGUUCAAAGCAGGCCUUUGCUCGAAUACAUUAGCAUGGAAUAAUAGAAUAGGACGUGCGGUCCUAUUUUGUUGGUUUCUAGGACCGCCGUAAUGAUUAAUAGGGAUAGUCGGGGGCAUCAGUAUUCAAUUGUCAGAGGUGAAAUUCUUGGAUUUAUUGAAGACUAACUACUGCGAAAGCAUUUGCCAAGGAUGUUUUCAUUAAUCAGUGAACGAAAGUUAGGGGAUCGAAGACGAUCAGAUACCGUCGUAGUCUUAACCGUAAACUAUGCCGACUAGGGAUCGGGCGAUGUUAUUAUUUUGA